UGGGGAAUAUUGGACAAUGGGCGCAAGCCUGAUCCAGCCAUGCCGCGUGGAUGAUGAAGGCCUUAGGGUUGUAAAAUCCUUUCGCCGAGGACGAUAAUGACGGUACUCGGAGAAGAAGCUCCGGCUAACUUCGUGCCAGCAGCCGCGGUAAUACGAAGGGGGCUAGCGUUGUUCGGAUUUACUGGGCGUAAAGCGCGUGUAGGCGGGUCGUUAAGUUGGGGGUGAAAUCCCGAGGCUCAACCUCGGAACUGCCUUCAAAACUGGCGACCUGGACCUAAGUAGAGGCAAGUGGAAUUGCGAGUGUAGAGGUGAAAUUCGUAGAUAUUCGCAGGAACACCAGUGGCGAAGGCGACUUGCCGGACUUAUGGUGACGCUGAGACGCGAAAGCGUGGGGAGCAAACAGGAUUAGAUACCCAGGUAGUCCCUGAGCGGGCUGGCAAGGCG
rnacentral:rRNA from 1 species